rnacentral:rRNA from 1 species
GACGAACGCUGGCGGCGUGCUUAACACAUGCAAGUCGAACGGUGAAGUUCCUUCGGGAAUGGAUUAGUGGCGAACGGGUGAGAAACACGUGAGAAACCUGCCUUUCAUUUUGGGAUAACUCCGGGAAACCGGAGCUAACACCGAAUACUCCGUCUCGGCGGCAUCGCUGAGCCGGGAAAAAAUUAUGAUGAAAGAUGGUCUCGCGGCCUAUCAGCUAGUUGGUGAGGUAAUGGCUCACCAAGGCGACGACGGGUAGCCGGCCUGAGAGGGCGACCGGCCACACUGGGACUGAGACACGGCCCAGACCCCUACGGGAGGCAGCAGUGGAGAAUAUUGGGCAAUGGGCGCAAGCCUGACUCAGCGACGCCGCGUGAGGGAUGAAGGCCUUCGGGUUGUAAACCUCUUUCAGUAGGGAAGAAGCGAAAGUGACGGUACCUAAAGAAGAAGCACCGGCUAACUAUGUGCCAGCCGCCGCGGUAA